rnacentral:rRNA from 1 species
UACGAGAGGUGCAAGCGUUAUUCGGAAUUAUUGGGCGUAAAGGGUGCGUAGACGGUUUGUUUAGUCUGUUGUUAAACCUUUCGGCUUAACCGAAAAUCAGCAAUGGAAACUGGCAAGCUAGAGUCUGUCAGAGGGGGGUAGAAUUCCACGUGUAGCAGUGAAAUGCGUAGAGAUGUGGAGGAAUACCAAUGGCGAAGGCAGCCCCUGGGAUAAGACUGACGCUCAUGCACGAAAGCGUGGGAGCAAACAGGGAUUAGAUACCCUGGUAGUCCACGCCCUAAACGAUGUCAACUGGUUGUUGGGCAACUUGAUUGUUCAGUAACGAAGCUAACGCGAGAAGAUGACCGCCUGGGGAGUACGGUCGCAAGAUUAAAACUCAAA